ACGGCUCACCAAGGCUUACGGGUAGCUGGUCUGAGAGGAUGAUCAGCCACACUGGAACUGAGACACGGUCCAGACUCCUACGGGAGGCUGCAGUCGAGAAUCAUUGUCAAUGCACGAAAGUGUGAACAUGCGACGCCGCGUGGAGGAAGACGGCCUUCGGGUUGUAAACUCCUGUCAGCAGGGAGUAAAAAUAGAUUACCUAAUAGGUGUUCUAUUUGAUAGUACCUGCAGAGGAAGUCACGGCUAACUCUGUGCCAGCAGCCGCGGUAAUACAGAGGUGGCGAACGUUGUUCGGAUUUACUGGGCGUAAAGGGUCCGCAGGCGGAUCGGUGUGUCAGAUGUGAAAGCCCACAGCUUAACUGUGGAAUUGCAUUUGAAACUGCCGGUCUUGAGUACUGGAGGGGAGAAGGGAACACUUGGUGUAGCGGUGAAAUGCGUAGAUAUCAAGUGGAACACCGGUGGCGAAGGCGCUUCUCUGGACAGAUACUGACGCUCAUGGACGAAAGUUAGGGUAGCGAAAGGGAUUAGAUACCCCUGUAGUCCUAACCGUAAACGGUGUGCACUAGACGUGGGUGGAUUUACCCCCAUCCGUGUCUGAGCUAACGCAUUAAGUGCACCGCCUGGGGAGUACGGUCGCAAGAUUAAAACUCAAAGGAAUUGACGGGGACCCGCACAAGCGGUGGAGCAUGUGGCUUAAUUCGAUGCAACGCGAAGAACCUUACCUGGACUUGACAUAUAGCUGCAUACGACCUGAAAGGGACGUAGCCUUCGAGGGUGCUAUACAGGUGCUGCAUGGCUGUCGUCAGCUCGUGCCGUGAGGUGUUGGGUUAAGUCCCGCAACGAGCGCAACCCUUGUGUUUAGUUGCCAGCACGUAAUGGUGGGAACUCUAAACAGACUGCUUGUGAAAACAAGAGGAAGGUGGGGAUGACGUCAAGUCAGUAUGGUCCUUAUGUCCAGGGCUGCACACGUGCUACAAUGGGUAAUACAAUGGGAAGCCAAGCCGCGAGGUGGAGCAAAUCCUCAAAAUUACCCCCAGUUCGGAUUGAAGUCUGAAACUUGACUUCAUGAAGUUGGAAUCGCUAGUAAAGGCGUAUCAGCUACGACGCCUUGAAUACGUUCCCGGGUCUUGUACACACCGCCCGUCACAUCAUGGAAGUCUGUUGCACCCGAAGUCGUUGAUCCAACCCGUCAAGGGAGGAAGGCGCCUAAGGUGUGAUAGGUAACUGGGAUGAAGUCGGAACAAGGUA
rnacentral:rRNA from 1 species